rnacentral:rRNA from 1 species
CCUACGGGAGGCAGCAGUGAGGAAUAUUGGUCAAUGGACGAGAGUCUGAACCAGCCAAGUAGCGUGAAGGAUGACUGCUCUAUGGGUUGUAAACUUCUUUUAUAUGGGAAUAAAAUGUUCCACGUGUGGGAUUUUGUAUGUACCAUAUGAAUAAGGAUCGGCUAACUCCGUGCCAGCAGCCGCGGUAAUACGGAGGAUCCGAGCGUUAUCCGGAUUUAUUGGGUUUAAAGGGUGCGUAGGUGGAUUGUUAAGUCAGUUGUGAAAGUUUGCGGCUCAACCGUAAAAUUGCAGUUGAAACUGGCAGUCUUGAGUACGGUAGAGGUUGGCGGAAUUCGUGGUGUAGCGGUGAAAUGCUUAGAUAUCACGAAGAACUCCGAUUGCGAAGGCAGUUCACUGGACUGCAACUGACACUGAGGCUCGAAAGUGUGGGUAUCAAACAGGAUUAGAUACCCGGGUAGUC